rnacentral:rRNA from 1 species
UUCGGGACCUAAGGCAAGGUCGAAAGACGUAGUCGAUGGACAACAGGUUGAAAUUCCUGUACCACAUAUCAUCAGAACUGUGGGGACACAGGGCGAUAACCAGACCCGGGAAUGAAAAGACCGGGGCAAGCGAGGUAGGAGUUAAGCCGGCAAAUCCGCUUAACAAUCCGAAGACGUGACGCGGACCGAACAAAAGUAGGGAAGCUGGAGAUUCGAGCUGUCAAGAAAAGCCGCUAUUGUGUGAUAUGUGCCCGUACCGUAAACCGACACAGGUGGAUGAGGAGAGAAUCCUAAGGCCGGCGGGAGAAGCAUUGUUAAGGAACUCGGCAAAAUGACCCUGUAACUUCGGGAUAAAGGGUGCCUGCGCAAGCAGGCCGCAGAGAAUAGGCUCAAGCAACUGUUUAGCAAAAACACAGGUCUAUGCAAAACCGAAAGGUGAGGUAUAUGGGCUGACGCCUGCCCGGUGCUGGAAGGUUAAGAGGGGAGGUUAGAGCAAUCGAAGCUUUGAAUUUAAGCCCCAGUAAACGGCGGCCGUAACGAUAACGGUCCUAAGGUAGCGAAAUUCCUUGUCGGGUAAGUUCCGACCUGCACGAAAGGCGUAAUGAUUUGAGCGCUGUCUCGACAAUGCACCCGGUGAAAUUGAAAUACCAGUGAAGAUGCUGGUUACCUGCGCCAGGACGGAAAGACCCCAUGGAGCUUUACUCCAGCUUGAUACUGGGAUUCGGUUAUACAUGUACAGGAUAGGUGGGAGGCUAAGAAGUGAGGACGCCAGUCUUCACAGAGCCGCUGUUGGGAUACCACCCUUGUGUGACUGGGUUUCUAACCUGCAGCCGUGACCCGGCUGGGGGACAAUGUCAGGUGGGGAGUUUGACUGGGGCGGUCGCCUCCGAAAGGGUAUCGGAGGCGCUCAAAGGUUCCCUCAGAAUGGUUGGAAACCAUUUGCAGAGCGCAAAGGCAUAAGGGAGCUUGACUGCGAGACCGACGGGUCGAGCAGGUAGGAAACUAGGACUUAGUGAUCCGGUGGUAUAAAGUGGGAUUGCCAUCGCUCAACGGAUAAAAGCUACCCUGGGAUAACAGGCUUAUCACUCCCAAGAGUUCACAUCGACGGAGUGGUUUGGCACCUCGAUGUCGGCUCAUCGCAUCCUGGGGCUGAAGUAGGUCCCAAGGGUUGGGCUGUUCGCCCAUUAAAGCGGUACGCGAGCUGGGUUCAGAACGUCGUGAGACAGUUCGGUCCCUAUCCGGCGUGGGCGUAGGAUAUUUGAGAGGAGCUGUCCUUAGUACGAGAGGACCGGGAUGGACUGACCUCUGGUGCAUCGGUUGAGAAUCAAUCUCAUGGCCGAGUAGCCAAGUCGGGACGGGAUAAACGCUGAAGGCAUCUAAGCGUGAAGCCCCCCUCAAGAUGAGAUAUCCCAUACGCAAGUAGUAAGACCCCUUGAAGACGACGAGGUAGAUAGGGCAGAGGUGGAAGCAUGGUAACAUGUGCAGCUGACUGUCACUAAUAGGUCGAGGGCUUAAC